ACUUAAAUUGAAGAGUUUGAUCAUGGCUCAGAUUGAACGCUGGCGGCAGGCCUAACACAUGCAAGUCGAACGGUAGCACAGAGAGCUUGCUCUCGGGUGACGAGUGGCGGACGGGUGA
rnacentral:rRNA from 2 species